rnacentral:rRNA from 1 species
UACGUAGGGGGCGAGCGUUGUCCGGAAUCAUUGGGCGUAAAGCGCGUGUAGGCGGUCCGGUAAGUCCGCUGUGAAAGUCGGGGGCUCAACCCUCGGAUGCCGGUGGAUACUGUCGGGCUUGAGUACGGAAGAGGCGAGUGGAAUUCCUGGUGUAGCGGUGAAAUGCGCAGAUAUCAGGAGGAACACCAAUUGCGAAGGCAGCUCGCUGGGACGUUACUGACGCUGAGACGCGAAAGCGUGGGGAGCAAACAGGAUAG